rnacentral:rRNA from 1 species
GACAGAGGGUGCAACCGUUGUUCGGAAUCACUGGGCGUAAAGCGUGUGUAGGCGGCUUCUCAAGUCGGGUGUGAAAUCCCAGGGCUCAACCCUGGAAGUGCAUUCGAAACUGGGUAGCUAGAGUACUGGAGAGGAAGGUGGAAUGCUUGGUGUAGAGGUGAAAUUCGUAGAUAUCAAGCGGAACACCGGUGGCGAAGGCGGCCUUCUGGACAGAUACUGACGCUGAGACACGAAAGCGUGGGGAGCAAACAGG